CCUACGGGCGGCUGCAGUAGGGAAUAUUGCGCAAUGGACGGAAGUCUGACGCAGCGACGCCGCGUGAGCGAUGAAGGUCUUCGGAUCGUAAAGCUCUGUCCUUGGGGAAGAAGGCGAAAGCUUGACGGUACCUUACCAGCAAGCCCCGGCUAACUACGUGCCAGCAGCCGCGGUAAGACGUAGGGGGCGAGCGUUGUCCGGAAUUACUGGGCGUAAAGAGCACGUAGGCGGAUGUAUAAGUCAGGUGUGAAAGACCGCAGCCUAACUGCGGGGUUGCACUUGAAACUGUAUAUCUUGAGGGCAGGAGAGGUUAGUAGAAUUCCUGGUGUAGCGGUGAAAUGCGUAGAAAUCAGGAGGAAUACCAGUGGCGAAGGCGACUGACUGGACUGACCCUGACGCUGAGGUGCGAAAGCGUGGGUAGCAAACAGGAUUAGAUACCCCUGUAGUCAC
rnacentral:rRNA from 1 species